rnacentral:rRNA from 1 species
GGGGGCAAGCGUUGUCCGGAAUCAUUGGGCGUAAAGAGCGUGUAGGCGGCCCGGUAAGUCCGCCGUGAAAGUCCAGGGCUCAACCCUGGAAUGCCGGUGGAAACUGCCGGGCUGGAGUCCGGAAGAGGCGAGUGGAAUUCCUGGUGUAGCGGUGAAAUGCGCAGAUAUCAGGAGGAACACCAAUGGCGAAGGCAGCUCGCUGGGACGGUACUGACGCUGAGACGCGAAAGCGUGGGGAGCAAACAGG